UACGGGGGGGGCAAGCGUUGUUCGGAAUUACUGGGCGUAAAGGGCUCGUAGGCGGCCAACUAAGUCAGACGUGAAAUCCCUCGGCUUAACCGGGGAACUGCGUCUGAUACUGGAUGGCUUGAGUUUGGGAGAGGGAUGCGGAAUUCCAGGUGUAGCGGUGAAAUGCGUAGAUAUCCGGAGGAACACCAGGGGCGAAAGCGGCCGACUGGUCGAGUACUGACGCUGAGGCGCGACGGCGUGGGGAGCAAACCGG
rnacentral:rRNA from 1 species